UCGAGCGGAUGACGGGAGCUUGCUCCUGGAUUCAGCGGCGGACGGGUGAGUAAUGCCUAGGAAUCUGCCUGGUAGUGGGGGAUAACGUCCGGAAACGGGCGCUAAUACCGCAUACGUCCUGAGGGAGAAAGUGGGGGAUCUUCGGACCUCACGCUAUCAGAUGAGCCAAGGUCGGAUUAGCUAGUUGGUGGGGUAAAGGCCUACCAAGGCGACGAUCCGUAACUGGUCUGAGAGGAUGAUCAGUCACACUGGAACUGAGACACGGUCCAGACUCCUACGGGAGGCAGCAGUGGGGAAUAUUGGACAAUGGGCGAAAGCCUGAUCCAGCCAUGCCGCGUGUGUGAAGAAGGUCUUCGGAUUGUAAAGCACUUUAAGUUGGGAGGAAGGGCAGUAAGUUAAUACCUUGCU
rnacentral:rRNA from 1 species